GUUUGCCUGUGUGCGGAAGGUGUUCAGUACAAAGGACAUGCCUGUUUACCCGUCUGUGGAAGGUGUUCAGUACAAAGGACAUGCCUGUUUGCCU
rnacentral:pre_miRNA from 1 species